CGUAAUUCAGCCACUGAACUCGGUGGCGGCUCACUGAGUCUUCCUCGUCGGAAACGAGUCCACAGCCAUGGGAGAACCAGAACAUGAACAACAGCAUCAAAAUGAGCAGAAAGAGUUCGCUGACGGUGGAAAGAGAAAGCUGGACGCUUUCGAACUCGCCAAACAGAGAGCUCAAGAAAUUGCGUCUCGAAUUGCUAGUGACGCUGAUCCGAAACGCCCUCGAAUCGUCACUGAAAACUCGUCAGAGCCUUCAUUUUCCUCAAGUUCUGUGUCUGCCCC
rnacentral:misc_RNA from 1 species